AAGUUAUGAUGACACAAUUUUUUUAAUUCAGUUCGUGGUAUCUACCAUAGUGUUAGCACAGUGAUGGCCUUUAUGCGUCUGAUUU
rnacentral:snoRNA from 1 species